rnacentral:misc_RNA from 1 species
AAAAUACCUUUGAAGGAGCAAAGGGGACCGCAAGAGAGAAUGCACUUGAAGAGUUUGCAUUCUAGAGUUGAAAUGGAGAAGGGAUUCCAAGAGUUGACAUUCUUGCAGUCUUUCUUGUUGCCAAUUUCAAAAUGGGCUGAUAAGCAGUUGGGAGACUACCAUCUUAAUUAUGCUGAGGGGUUGAUGAUGAUGGAAAACACUGUGGCAGUUGCUA